UCUCCUGUAGCUCAGUGGUAGAGCGUCCAACUGGUGUAUAGAGGGUCAUAGGUCGUCAUAGGUUCGACUCCUGUUGGGAAAC